UAUUUUAAGGAAAUAACCAAUAAAGACUGCAUGUUU
rnacentral:ncRNA from 1 species